rnacentral:rRNA from 1 species
UCUCCUAAGGCUAAAUACUCUCUAGUGACCGAUAGUGAACCAGUACCGUGAGGGAAAGGUGAAAAGUACCCCGGAAGGGGAGUGAAAGAGAACUUGAAACCGUGUGCUUACAAGUAGUCAGAGCCCGUUAAUGGGUGAUGGCGUGCCUUUUGUAGAAUGAACCGGCGAGUUACGAUCUGAUGCAAGGUUAAGCAGAAAAUGUGGAGCCGUAGCGAAAGCGAGUCUGAAUAGGGCGAAUGAGUAUUUGGUCGUAGACCCGAAACCAGGUGAUCUACCCUUGGUCAGGUUGAAGUUCAGGUAACACUGAAUGGAGGACCGAACCGACUUACGUUGAAAAGUGAGCGGAUGAACUGAGGGUAGCGGAGAAAUUCCAAUCGAACUUGGAGAUAGCUGGUUCUCUCCGAAAUAGCUUUAGGGCUAGCCUCAAGUGAUGAUUAUUGGAGGUAGAGCACUGUUUGG